rnacentral:tRNA from 1 species
UAAGACUUACAGACAUCUAGCCUGUAUCUUUUGAAUGCAAAUCAAAUACUUUCAUUAAGCCAAAGCCUUA